rnacentral:rRNA from 1 species
UACAGAGGGUGCGAGCGUUAAUCGGAAUUACUGGGCGUAAAGCGUGCGUAGACGGUUUCCUAAGUCGGGUGUGAAAUCCCCGGGCUCAACCUGGGAAUUGCAUUCGAAACUGUGAGGCUAGGGUACGGAAGAGGGAAGCGGAAUUUCUGGUGUAGCGGUGAAAUGCGUAGAUAUCAGAAGGAACAUCAGUGGCGAAAGCGGCUUCCUGGUCCAGUACCGACGUUCAGGCACGAAAGCGUGGGGAGCAAACAGG